rnacentral:lncRNA from 1 species
GCUGGAGUGCAAUGGCGUGAUCUCGGCUCACUGCAACCUCUGCCGCCCAGCUUCAAACGAUUCUCCUGCCUCAGCCUCCAGAGUACCUGGGAUUACAGCUUCCAGUAAACUUUUAAAAUGAAAAAGAAGGCAAGAUUAAAUAAUCUCAACUAUGUGACUGCUUAAAUGGGGAAUGAAAUCAAUUCUUCACAUCUAUGGAAAAACAAGUGAGCCAGGGUUGUGAUUCCAACUGGAUAAAGAAUGAACGUGGAAUUAUUAAUGUGAUGUAACAGAGGAAGAAAUAAGUUUAAUUGAUCAAGUAUUUGCUCAGUAUGUACUAGGAGCCUGGAAAUUGAAGAGUUUUAUCUCUUGGAAUUCCUUAAGAAAAACCUUGGCUUAAUAAUUUAAAUGUUUUCAUGUCUGAAGCAGGAAAAUGAAUUAGCUAUUACAGGUGCAUUCUUGUUCUUUGAUGCUUACUUGUUAGGACAUAGGCCACCCUUCACUGCUAGUAAUGUGUUCUUAGACAGAAUUAAAAUUGAGCCCACAUCACAUUCUCACAGCCAAACUUGUAAAUCUAUCCUUUAAAGCUCAAAUUUCUGUUUUGAUUAGAUGCAAAACAUUCAGAUGAUUUAUGAUUGUUUAAUUAAAAGAAAUCAGUGAAAUAAAAACAAAUUAAACUGUUUUAA